GCGUACGUACGUUGUCGGUUUCUACGUUUGUCUCGCCCUCGCUAUUUUCUCUCUUCUAUUAAUAGCCAUCUAUCCAUCGUGAUUCCCUCCGCGACGACGACCGCGACGCCUUCCAUUCCCAGGAAUUUCACGACACGCGAGUCGUGCAUUUUGCCAAACACUUAUAGGUAUACUUAAUUAGUGGAGCGGCAAUUAGUAUUACUCGCUCGUUACGCUUUUCGUUUCUUUCCGAUCGAUCGAACCGGCGCAAUUCUUUCCUCGUGCGGGGGAGUUCCCCCUUUGUUCGAUUUACAGUUGGCCGGCCGCCGUCGUCGUUUUCCGCAUCGAAGAAUUCCACUCCAGAUUCAGAAAUCCACGGACGGAAACGAUACGAUACGAUUUUAAUUGUUUAAUUGUCGUUGGACUGCGAAAAAUCGCGAUUUAUCAAAAUCAAGAAUGAGAAUUCGAGCCGAUAUUCCGUUGAUUAUAACGAGGAUAAAAAAAAAAAAUCCGGCGCUCAAUUGAUAUUUUCGUAUCGAGUUUUCAAACGACACGAAUGACCCUUUGUCGAGUAGGAGACACUUUAAAUUCCAUCUCGUUGCUCGUCGUGGCCGACGCCUUAUCUUUAAUUCGAUUACAAGCCCAGUUGAAUUACACCGAAGGAUGAGGAGAGAGAAGAAAAAGAAGAAAAUUCUUGUCAAAAACUUGUAUCGAGGA